GGCGGAUCAUGAACUGAUAAUUGAUGUCGAUGUGUUUACCGACCAAGUAUGAGUAUGAACUGGAAGAUAGUGACACUGUAGCUACUGACAUUGGAUUAUUUGAUACCAAGGAAUUAACGUAACCAAUUGUCGUAAAUAAACUGAAUGGUAAUGUGAAAAACAUGUGAAAGACUGCAGGAUUCGAGGGAAAAUACACAAACGGUAACUGCUCCGGAAAGAGGACCUGCGCUACUUCCCUUUACCAAGCAGGUUUUGAUGAACAACUCAAUAUGGACAGGACGGAACAUCGCAGCACGGCUGUAUGCAUACAAGGUGAAGAAAGAAGACAACAAAGAACAUUUCUAAACGGCACUCGUAUUUCAUUAAAUUUUGUUUAAAAUGUU